rnacentral:rRNA from 1 species
UUGAACGCUGGCGGCAUGCCUUACACAUGCAAGUCGAACGGCAGCACGGGAGCAAUCCUGGUGGCGAGUGGCGAACGGUGAGUAAUAUAUCGGAACGUGCCCGGUCGUGGGGAUAACGUAGCGAAAGCUACGCUAAUACCGCAUACGAUCUACGGAUGAAAGCGGGGAUCGCAAGACCUCGCGCGAUUGGAGCGGCCGAUAUCAGAUUAGGUAGUUGGUGAGGUAAAGGCUCACCAAGCCGACGAUCUGUAGCUGGUCUGAGAGGACGACCAGCCACACUGGGACUGAGACACGGCCCAGACUCCUACGGGAGGCAGCAGUGGGGAAUUUUGGACAAUGGGCGCAAGCCUGAUCCAGCAAUGCCGCGUGCAGGAUGAAGGCCUACGGGUUGUAAACUGCUUUGUACGGAACGAAACGGUGAGCUCUAAUACAGUUUGCUAAUGACGGUACCGUAAGAAUAAGCACCGGCUAACUACGUG